CUCAGGUGUUCUCUCACAGUGAUGUGAAAGCGGGGCUCAGCUGGGAGGAGGACCGCGACGACGAGCUCCGAUGCGAUUAUCAAGACUCCUGUUUCAACCAUGCUGUGAAAUCAGAAUGCGAGCGCACGUGUCAUUUUCGAUUUUCAUCACUGGAUCGCAACUGAAGCUCACUUUGCCUUCAGACCUCAUUGUCAACUCAUCUUUCCGGGCGGCCUGCUGAUGGGAGUAACAAGGGUUUCAUAUCAUCAGACCUAAUAUUGAGCAUUUCAUCUGCUAUUCCGGUAAUCAACGGCCUCUCUGCAAAGGCUCAUUGAUCGAGCAGCGCUGUACGGGCGCAUGACAUCCAUAAUCACAACAAUGGUGUGACAGCCCGUAUAAAUAAUGUGGCACGCAGAGGAGGAAGGCUGUAGGAAUGCAGAGUUAAGAAGAGUCAGACCCCAUCUCUUACUGCACUCUGUAUUAAUUACCGAACUCUCAACCCCUCCCCUCUGAGGCCCUGAGUUAUUUUCUGCCCAAACUUUAUCCGAAAUCUGUUUGUUUAGCCAUCCAUCAAAGGCAAGAAGUCGCUUCUUUACACUAAUUACCAAGACUGCUGUAAUAACUGUAAUUAUGAUGAUUAGUUGAGUUAACUUAGUGGUUACAGGGGGAAUGAGUGGGCCUUCUAUCUACCGUAUUUUUCGGAGUAUAAGUCGCACCGGCCGAAAAUGCAUAAUAAAGAAGGAAAAAAACAUAUAAGUCGCACUGGAGUAUAAGUUGCAUUUUUUGGGGAAAUGUAUUUGAUAAAACCCAACACCAAGAAUAGACAUUUGAAAAGCAAUUUAAAAUAAAUAAAGAAUAGUGAACAACAGGCUGAAUAAGUGUGCGUUAUAUGAGGCAUAAAUAACCAACUGAGAAGGUGCCUGGUAUGUUAACGUAACAUAUUAUGGUAAGAGUCAUUCAAAUAACUAUAACAUAUAGAACAUGCUAUACGUUUACCAAACAAUCUGUCACUCCUAAUCGCUAAAUCCCAUGAAAUCUUAUACAUCUAGUCUCUUACGUGAAUGAGCUAAAUAAUAUUAUUUGAUAUUUUACGGUAAUGUGUUAAUAAUUUCACACAUAACUCGCUCCUGAGUAUAAGUCGCACCCCCGGCCAAACUAUGAAAAAAACUGCGACUUAUAGUCCGAAAAAUACGGUAUAUAAAAACUACAAAGCUGCCUAAUGAAUAACGGAUGUUUCUGUUAAUAGAUGAUUAUCUAAAAUGGGUUUCCACCCACCCUUUCCCAAUAAAUAAGGGACGUAUUACUGACUGAAUCUUAAAUUAGAGACAAUAAGAUUCAUGCGGCAUGGUUCUAAACAAAUUCAAAAAAAUACUUGAACCCUUUGUUGAUGUACACAUGUACAUCAUUUUUUUGUUUUUGUCAAUUCGUAGCAUUUUUUGAUGGGUCAU